UACGUAGGGGGCGAGCGUUACUCGGAUUCAUUGGGCGUAAAGCGAAUGUAGGCGGUUUUGUAAGUCAGGGGUGAAAUCCCUCAGCUCAACUGAGGAACUGCCCUUGAUACUACAUUACUUGAGGACAGGAGAGGAAAGUGGAAUUCCCGGUGUAGCGGUGGAAUGCGUAGAUAUCGGGAGGAACACCAGAGGCGAAGGCGGCUUUCUGGACUGAUCCUGACGCUGAGAUUCGAAAGCUAGGGGAGCAAACAGG
rnacentral:rRNA from 1 species